rnacentral:lncRNA from 1 species
AUGGUCAUAUGAUGACCAUCUCUUGCAUGCUUUUGUGCCAUGCAUGCGUCGUUGGCUGAGGAAUAUAUCCCUCGUCCGGUGGAGUAGGCACCGUUGCGCUAAUGGGCUUGUAGCACCUAUCCAGGCCUUUAAAGCCACUCAAGGUCAACUAAAUCAGUUGGCUAUUUUAUCCCAGUUGCCAUGUGGAAGUCUUGUGAUUAGGGAUGGCAGC